UGCAAGUUCUUCCAGCGAUUAAAUCUAGGUCGAUUGUGAUUAAUCUUGUCGACUUUGUUUUUGACGGGUCGAUGAUCCAAAGGUCUAGAUGAUAUGAUCCCUUGGUUAAUCGAAGUGUAAGUUCCGGCUAUUUAAGGGCAGUACGCUAACACGUCCUCGUAUCAGCCUAUUUGAUAAGGAGUCAGAACCGAGUUGGUAACGAUCACGGUAUAGAGAGAUAAAUUCCAAACCCAAGUUUACAUACCCCAUAUAUGAAGCCUAUUCAGGCCCAACAGUUUAUUGCAGGCCCAUGUUAGUCAUUUAGAAAAUGACCAGCCCGUAUAAACCAACCCAUACAGGUCAUCGUGUACGUGGAACUCUCCUCUUUUAUAAAAGAAAAAAUCUCUCAGCUAAGUCGAUCCCCACCAGUAACCUUAUCCAUCCGCCUGCACCACCUCUCCAUUAUCCGGCUGAUGAAGAUCUCGCCGCUUGCCAUCAGCGGACUAAUUCCCAAACCAUCGCGACUGCACUUCUCCAUUCAUUCUUCCAACUUCUCUUCGUCUGGCGUAGUUUGCCGUUGUGCGGAGUGCGCAGACGCGUUCGUCGCAUUCUCAAGGAUCUAGAUCCUAGACGACCUCGUGGAGUUCGGCGGAGCAUUCUCAAGGGUUUCGGCCAAGAUGACAUGGCGGACGGCUAGAAAAGCAUGGUAGAGGUGUUGUAGUUUGGCCCAGUGGAGGAGGCUGUGAGGGAACUCACCGAGUCACCUGCUGGUGGUGAAUGAUUGGAUCUGACUACCGUGAGAUGAUGUCCUCCUCAUUGUUCUUGCUGUCAGACUACUUUAAAUGUUUGUUGUGCAAAAGCUAACUUGUUGAAUUUUCUCGUAACGUCUGGUAACCACAUCAAGUAACGGAGAAACAUAUUCCAGUUGCCAGCAAGACGCCAUUGACUUCCUUAUAACUGGCAUAUUCGUCUCAAUGCAUUCAUCCUCCAAGCCAUCUGAUAUUACAACAGAUCUCAGUCUCCUUUUAUUGCCACUUCGGAGCUCACGGGAUGAUGAAGAUAUUUUGUCUUGACUCUUAUCUUUGUUUAAUGUAGUCCCAUUGCUGUCAUGUGGCUCCUCUUUCAUAGGCACCAGUUCGCAUGAAAGUUCGCCAGGUAUUUUACUCAUAUUACAAAGACUAAUGACAUAUUUAUUGAAAUUCCGAUGCAUUACCUGGUCUGGCUGGUUUUCGUGCCUCAUUGUAGCCAGAAGUGCUUUGGGGUCACUUCUUCCGACGUGGAUUGUAGCAGCUGGGCGUAACUUUGUCGGGCGUCGACUGUGCUCUGGCGUGACUUUGUUGGAAGGCAAAAGAAGCGGCUGGAGCUGGCUUUUGGUGUGGAUGUCGAGUUGCGUGUGCCUUGUUCAAGUCGUCGUGGUUGCCGACUUCUACUUAUUUGUUGGGUGCUUGUGCGGCCAGGUGCACUUGUUUAUAUAAUGGGUUCAGGUGUCUGGGUUGGGGUGUCCGAGACCGUGUGGAGAUCAUAUUGUAAACUUGUCUUAUCCGCAUGUAAUCGUUUCUGUUUUGGAACUUUCCUCACGUGGUCUGGUGGCUGUCCUUAUUUGUUUAGAUUCCUUAUUUGUCUAGGUUUGACUAUUGUUUGUUUUUAUCCUUGACCCAUUGA